rnacentral:tRNA from 1 species
GGGGAUUUAGCUCAGUGGUAGAGCGCUUGCCUAGCAAGCACAAGGCUCCUGGGUUCGGUCCCCAGCUCCG